rnacentral:tRNA from 1 species
CAAGAGGUAGUUUAAAUUAAAAUAAUAGCUUUGGGAGUUGUCGAUGUAAGUGAAAAUCCUACCCUCUUGA